rnacentral:rRNA from 1 species
CCUACGGGUGGCAGCAGUGGGGAAUAUUGCACAAUGGGGGAAACCCUGAUGCAGCAACGCCGCGUGAGUGAAGAAGUAAUUCGGUAUGGAAAGCUCUAUCAGCAGGGAAGAAAAUGACGGGACCUGACUAAGAAGCCCCGGCUAACUACGUGCCAGAUGCCGCGGGAAUACGUAGGGGGCCAGCGUUAUCCGGAUUUACUGGGUGUACAGGGAGCGUAGACGGCUGCGCAAGUCAGAAGUGAAAGCCCGGGGCUCACCCGCGGGACUGCUUGUGAAACUGUAUAGCUAGAGUGCAGGAGAGGUAAGUGGAAGUCCUGGUGUAGCGGUGAAAUGCGUAGAUACGAGGAGGAACACCAGUGGCGAAGGCGGCUUACUGGACUGUAACUGACGUUGAGGCUCGAAAGCGUGGGGAGCAAACAGGAUUAGAUACCCCUGUAGUC